GUUGGUUAUGGAGAUAUGUGCCCUAUUACAUUGGGGGGUAAGGUUGUGGGGACUCUGUGUGCUAUUGCAGGGGUCUUGACCAUUGCUCUACCAGUCCCAGUGAUAGUGUCUAAC